AUUCCAGCUCUGUAAGCGUAUACCAAAGUUGUUGCAGUUAAAACGCUCGUAGUCGAACCUUGGCGUGAGUUACGGAGGCUCCUAAUGGACGUCGAAGUAACUCCGCCUUUGUGGAGGGGGGUGUGGUGUUACUUCAUUGUAUUGCCGCAUUUCCGCCACUGUUUACUGUGAAAAAAUUAGAGUGUUCAAAGCGAGCGUUUGCCAUGAAUACAUUAGCAUGGAAUAAUAGAAUAGGACCUGGUCCUGUUUUAUUGGUUUGUCUGUAUCAGGUAAUGAUUAACAGGGACGGUCGGGGGCAUUUGUAUUCCAGCGUUAGAGGUGAAAUUCUUGGAUCGCUGGAAGACAAACAGCUGCGAAAGCGUCUGCCAAGGACGUUUUCAUUG
rnacentral:rRNA from 1 species